rnacentral:tRNA from 1 species
GUCUCAAUGGCUCAGUGGUAAGAGUGCUUGCAUGGUAUGCCAGAGGCCCUGGGUUUGAGUCCCGGUUGAGACU